CUCACUCAGACCAAUCGGAGUUCACGAGGAAACUUUGUAAACAACUCUCACGCUGUUUUAAAGCUCUUCUGCUCUAUUUUACUACGAAAAGGUGCGACGCUGCUGCAGCCGAGUGAGCCCAAAGUACCAACACAGGCAGCCAUCCAGAUGUUGAAGUCAAACUCCACUCAGAAAGUAUUUAUGAAGACAAGAGGAAUGAUGCCAUGCAAAGCAGAAAGAAGCAGCACCACACAGCCUGUCUCGGCCAUACAUACAUUAAGACUUCAUGCUUGGGGCAUGCUGCUCUUUCUUGGCGCACCUGAGUGACAUCAUGAACAUGGCUGAAAUGACCAGCGAAUACCUGAGCCCACCUGUUACCAGCGCAAGCUUUUAACGAAUGGCAUCCUACCAAGUGCUCAGGACCAGCCUCAGGAGCUGAUCUCAGGGCCUUCCUUCCUUCCUUCCUUCCUUCCUCCUGACACAGAGGCCUGGGGGAGUCGCAUGGGAGUCAGGAUGGCCGGAUGUGGCCCGAUCAGACGCAGAGACAGACUGACGGACUGACAAGGAACAGACAUCACGCGGACGGGAGGAUGCUGCGGCCGUUACUGUGGACUUUGGGCUCGGUUUUCUUCCCAUCCGGAGCUACAAGGAGAAUGACAUCAUUCCUGUUUUGAUAGGACAACAGGAAGGUGGAGGGAGACGGAGAGCAGCGGGGCGCGUGUGUGGGCGAGAGCGUGAAGGAGUGUGAGGAAAUAAGAGGAUACAGUGAGUGCCAGCUGUGCUCUGCUGCUGCCGUACAGUGCACACUACUUCAGAGAAGUCAACCUCACUGCACUCCGUCCACCCCAUUGAACUGCCAGCUCUGGCAAUCAAUUCUGAGCCUUGUGCUGUCACUGCUGGCCUCUGGACACAGCAGCUGGCUGCAGGAAGACAAGCGCUCUUCCACAGAGUCUGUCCACCGAUCAGCUGCACCCAGCUGUCUAGCAGCAGCCCCCGCUAUUCAGAGCGCUGCUGCUGCUGCCGCUGGUGUCUGUAAGGCGGGGAUUUACAUUUUCUCAGGACAGGCAGCCCGUGGAGAGAGGCCUGCUGGCAGAUCAAAGGCUCCGGCUGUAAAACGAUCUGAAAGAGUCCGGCAUUAGCAUCCAUCAGGGUACCUUGAAAGCUCCCUGGUCAGCCGAGAGGGAAGCUGAGGGCCCCCCAAAGUGAAAGCCCAGUCUGGAGAGGGGUGAUGGAGGGGCGGAGGGAGGGUGGAAUGGGGGGUGGAGAGAGAGAGAGAGAGAGAGAGAGAGAGGUGGAGGGAUGAAUAACAGGCUACUCGGCUAAAGACAUGAAGGAAAUAUUUCCACGAGGGAGGAAAAUUCCCACAACAAGCUGCAUGUUUUUAUUUCUCUUUUGGAUUCAGACCCCCCCCCCACACACACACACACACACACACACACCAUCUCUUCCUUUAGCUCUUCCUCUCUCUUUCUAAUUUCUUUUUACAGCGUUGAGGCUGUAAGGGGAGAACAUCUCCAUCUGUGCAGCUUCUCCACUCAGCUCACCAAACCCAGACUUUUACUACUCCACCCUGCAGUCUACACACAGGGUCAUGACUGGUCUGGGAUGGGAUGUGGAGUGAAGGUGGGAGGGAAGGAUAGAGUGUGGGAGGAAGAGCAACCUUGAUUGGCUUCAUAUAUUGUAUCUCUUUACAUGAGAAUUGAAAGUGGGAGAGAAGUAGGGAUGGCUAGGGUGUGUGUGUGUGUGUGUGUGUGUGUGUGUGUGUGUUUGUGUGUGUGUGUGUGUGUGUGUUCCUUCUAUGCAAUAUGCAUGAUUCACAGUCUUGAAAUGGAUAGGUACCCAACAUGUGUGAUAGGGAUUAAGAUUAGACCUGCAUUCCUGGUGUGUUCCAGUGCCUGCACAUUUGUUUCUUUUUCAAUAACAAAAGUAAGGCAGCAUUCGUCACAUAAAUCAGAAAAAAAAAAUCUGCAUCCUCAGGCUGAUCUUGUGAUGGAAUUCCCUCAAGAAACCAGAUUUAUAGACACGGAGACCUGUGAACACUGAGCUCCUUUUUUCCUGGAAAGACUUUCAGCUAUGUCGUGUUGUGAUAUUUCACUAAAGUCUCUCCAUUAGAAUCCAAACCUUUGCUGACUAUGAGGCUUUUAGCACUGACCUCCUCUCAGCACCUUUACUGUAUCACAAAGUCAAGUUGGGAAUGAUAGAUCUACGAACGGGUCCGAAUUUUAGGGAGGUCGUGGUUCAGUCUGUGUUUCCCACAGCUCUACAGACUGCGGCCAUCACUCAUUGGUCCUGGUCCGGUGUGAGUUAUGGCUCAGCAGGUCUCCUGGAGGACAGUGUGAGAGGAUUUCUUUAGUAACAGUGAAAAUACAGGUGGUACAGGUGGUCUCUACAGGGAUAUACUGGACUGGGUAGAGUUGACCUAAGACUUGCAUUAUGCUCCAUGAGUAUUUUAAAGAAUGUUAUGCAUUAUCCCAGAGAAUUACGUCGGCCCUCAUUAGUAUUAGUUGUGCAAAUUCCUUGUUAACCCUUUGAACUCAAGCAGUAAAAUUGGUCCACUAGUGCCUACAUUGGUAUUUUUGCAGUAUCUUCAAAUGCUUCCUAUCCCUGAAAUGUGUACAACCUAAGCUAAAGUCAAUAAACCAUAAUAAUGGA